AAUAGAUACCCAGGUAGUCCACGCCGUAAACGAUGGAUACUAGCUGUUCGGCGUAAGCUGAGUGGCUAAGCGAAAGUGAUAAGUAUCCCACCUGGGGAGUACGAACGCAAGUUUGAAACUCAAAGGAAUUGACGGGGGGCCCGCACAAGCGGUGGAGCAUGUGGUUUAAUUCGAUGAUACGCGAGGAACCUUACCAGGGCUUAAAUGUAGAUUGACAGGUUUAGAGAUAGACUUUUCUUCGGACAAUUUACAAAGUGCUGCAUGGUUGUCGUCAGCUCGUGCCGUGAGGUGUCAGGUUAAGUCCUAUAACGAGCGCAACCCCUGUUGUUAGUUGCCAGCGAGUCAAGUCGGGAACUCUAACAAGACUGCCAGUGCAAACUGUGAGGAAGGUGGGGAUGACGUCAAAUCAUCACGGCCCUUACGUCCUGGGCUACACACGUGCUACAAUGGUAGGGACAGAGAGCAGCCACUUCGCGAGAAGGAGCGAAUCUAUAAACCCUAUCACAGUUCGGAUCGGAGUCUGCAACGUCCG
rnacentral:rRNA from 1 species